CAAUAUAAGAAAGGUUAAUGUUCUUGAAAGUACCGAUAUACCCCUUUGGUCUGUAGUUGAUCCACGUGGCUUCCUUCGUUGAUCAGCAUUGCUUCCUCCACUUCACAUGCUUAAGUCUUGCUUCUCCCAAUAUGUUCUGCACGGGUUCAUUUUUUAUAAUGUACAUGCAAAGGCACAAGCUUUUCAAUCUAAUAUAUUAAUUAACUUUCUGAUAGAAACACUACACAUCUCUCUUCCUUUUUCUCUCUCAUUCUCUUUCCUAAAUUUUCAAUUUUUUCUCUUUCUCUCUUUUUUUCUCCAAUCCUCUCUAUCUUCCUUCACUUUUUCUCAAAUAUGUUCCCAGCUUUUCAUCAAUUUUUUUGUUUAAAUUUACUCAUCUUUAUUUAACAAUAUCCCAUUACAUAUUUUUUUUCCAAGUCUUACUUCAUUGUUUAGAAGUUUAUUUUGUUCUACUUCAGAUCUACAAAACUUUGGCGGCGGCUAUGACAUUUCAGGCUAUUUUACGGUGGUAGGCAUUUUGAUAAUGGUAGAUCUGUUGCAGCGAUAACAUGUUUCCGAUGGCGAUCAUGGUGGUGGUUGGAUUUGAAAUGCUUUAUGUGUGAUUUCUUCAGUUUAGGUUUUGUUAUUAACUUAUUCCCCUUAAACCCUAAGUUUAGAUUUAUUUAAUGAUUUUUUGUACAAGAAAACAAUGUUAAUAAAAUAUUCUCUUUUAUUUGAUCUGUUUAGGUUUUCAACUUUGGAGAACCAAUAUUUACUUUUAAGUAUUUGUUGGCUUUCAAUAUUACAGACAAUGGUGAAAGUGAUGAUUAUUGAUGAAAUGGUUGUUGUGUUUUCUUCUCAUUUUCUGUAACAUUGAUACAAACCCUACAAAUCAAUAACAUUCAUAUGGAUUUAUUUAUUUA